UAGGGAAUCUUCCGCAAUGGACGAAAGUCUGACGGAGCAACGCCGCGUGAGUGAAGAAGGUUUUCGGAUCGUAAAACUCUGUUGUUAGGGAAGAACAAGUGCCGUUCGAAUAGGGCGGCGCCUUGACGGUACCUAACCAGAAAGCCACGGCUAACUACGUG
rnacentral:rRNA from 2 species